UACGAAGGUUGCAAGCGUUGUUCGGAUUUACUGGGCGUACAGGGAGCGUAGGCGGUUGGGUAAGCCCUCCGUGAAAUCUCCAGGCUUAACCUGGAAAGUGCAGAGGGGACUGCUCGGCUAGAGGAUGGGAGAGGAGCGCUGAAUUCCCGGUGUAGCGGUGAAAUGCGUAGAGAUCGGGAGGAAGGCCGGUGGCGAAGGCGGCGCUCUGGAACAUUUCUGACGCUGAGGCUCGAAAGCGUGGGGAGCAAACAGG
rnacentral:rRNA from 1 species